rnacentral:misc_RNA from 1 species
GAUGAAGAACGUAGCGAAAUGCGAUAAGUAAUGUGAAUUGCAGAAUUCAGUGAAUCAUCGAAUCUUUGAACGCACAUUGCGCCCGCCAGUAUUCUGGCGGGCAUGCCUGUUCGAGCGUCAUUUCAACCAUCAAGCCCCAGGCUUGUGUUGGAGCCCUGCGGCUGCCGCAGCCUCCCAAAACCAGUGGCGGGCUCGCUAUCACACCGAGUGCAGUAGUUUACUCUUCGCUCAGGGCGUGUGGCGGGUGCUAGCCGUAAAACCCCCAACUUCUCAAGGUUGACCUCGGAUCAGGUAGGAAAACCCGCUGAACUUAAGCAUAUCAAUAAGCGGAGGA